CGGGAGGAUUUAUGGGUAGACAUAACAAUGCUGUUGUCGGGGUAACAAAGAGACGGUAAUGAAGUUGAGCUCCGUUGGAUUCCGGGGAUGAAAGAUGGCUGGCAGAGACAAUGGGAUAAAAGUGGAGGAGGCUAUACCAGAGUUGGAGAUAGAUGUGGAUGAGCUGCUGGACAUGCCUAGUGAUGAUGACAGAGGAGCCAGAGUUAAAGAUCUCCUGGUAGACUGUUACAAACCUACUGAGGACUUUGUGUCAGAUCUGCUGGAUAAGAUACGUGGCAUGCAGAAGCUCACCACCCCCCAGAAGAAAUAACCUCAACCCUGAGUCACCCCUCCUCUUCACCCCCUGCCUCCUCCCGCCUCCCUCCCUCACUCCAACCUCACCCCACAGAAGAAAUAGGAGCUUGGCUUCCUCAGAGAUGGAGGAGGAAGAGGGAGGAGAAAAAGAGGAGAGAAGGGGCAGAGGAGUAAGAGAGGUGAUUGAAGCAGCCAAUCACAUCUAAGCAGGGUGUAUGAUGUCCUGUGAUUUUUAUUUUAAUGUUUUAUUUAGUUUACAUUUAUUUAGAUUACAUUUUUUUAAAGGUGGUUUGUAUUGUUGUUAAAUGAUCAAGCGAUCGGUCAUAUUUCUCAUGUUAAUGAGUGAACAUAGCAUACUAUAUUGUAGCUGUAAGCCAAGCCCAGGAUAUAUUCUGAGUUUUAGUAGCCAAGCCAGGAUAUAUUCUGAGUUUUAGUAGCCAAGCCCAGGACAUAUUCUGAGUUUUAGUAGCCAAGCCCAGGAUACAUUCUGAGUUUUAGUAGCCAAGCCCAGGAUACAUUCUGAGUUUUAGUAGCCAAGCCCAGGAUAUAUUCUGAGUUUUAGUAGCCAAGCCCAGGAUAUAUUCUGAGUUUUAGUAGCCAAGCCCAGGAUGUAUUCUGAGUUUUAGUAGCCAAGCCCAGGAUAUAUUCUGAGUUUUAGUAGCCAAGCCAGGAUAUAUUCUGAGUUUUAGUAGCCAAGCCCAGGAUGUAUUCUGAGUUUUAGUAGCCAAGCCCAGGAUAUAUUCUGAGUUUUAGUAGCCAAGCCCAGGAUGUAUUCUGAGUUUUAGUAGCCAAGCCCAGGAUAUAUUCUGAGUUUUAGUAGCCAAGCCCAGGAUAUAUUCUGAGUUUUAGUAGCCAAGCCCAGGAUAUAUUCUGAGUUUUAGUAGCCAAGCCAGGAUAUAUUCUGAGUUUUAGAAUGAGUCCCAAAAUGGCACGUUAUUUAUUACCUUCUAUAGUCCAUUACAUUUGACCAGGGCUCUGGUCCAAAGUAGUGGACUAGGUUUUAAGGGUGCCGUUUGGGGAUGGGAGAGACUCCUAUGUAUAGUACAGUGUGUGUGUGUGUGUGUGUGUGUGUGUGUGUGUGUGUGUGUGUAGUCUAGACCUCAGUGAAAACACAGACCGGGGGACUUGACAAAGUGACCUUUUUUUCCUCUUUAGUUCUAUCUCUUUAUCACUGUUUAUUGUUCUGUCAGAUAUUUCAUGUUCCAUAAUGUGCAGGUGUAAGGCCUUUGUCAGUGAGGACUCUUGUAGAGAGAUUUCAGGAGACGAGUAAACCAAUGAGGGAGGGAGGGAGGGACGGAGGGAGGCACUGGGUAGUGGAAAAUGUGUCGAUGUGUUCAUCCAGAUAGCCACACACACACCCAGGGAACAGCAGAAACACAGACCACAGCUGCUGCUCCUUCAUACUCUCACACAGAUGUGAACACUGGUACACACACACAUAAACACACACUGGCUCUCUCUCGUCAACACACACACGGGAAGGAGGGGGGGUAUAAUCAUUGAGAGAGGGAUAAAUGGAGAAAAAGAGGGAGAAUCAGAGGUCUUACUCUUCCUGGCUUGGCUGCCUCACAAGGCCUUAGUGUUGCCAAUCAUGCAGCUCUCUCACUCACCCCAUGUCUCUCUUUGGCCCUCACUCCUUCCUCUGUCUCCUUCCCUUUCUACUUCCAGCAAUCUACAGAUGACUCCAUCCCUCCCUCCAUCUCUCUCUCUCCUCUCCCUCCAUCUAUCCCUCUCGCUCUCUCCUUCCCUCCCUCCAUCUAUCCCUCUCGCUCUCUCCUUCCCUCCCUCCAUCUAUCCCUCUCGCUCUCUCCUUCCCUCCCUCCAUCUAUCCCUCUCGCUCCCUCCCUCCAUCCCACCAUCCCUCCCUCCUUCCCACCAUCCCACCCUCUCCCUCCUUCCCUUCCAUCUCUCUCUCCCUCCUUCCCUUCCAUCUCUCUCUCCCUCCUUCCCUUCCAUCUCUCUCUUCCUCCUUUCCUUCAUCCAGCUCUAUCCUUCCAUCCCUCCAUCUCUUGUUUAAUAACUGACGUUGCCUUAGGUCUAUAUUGAAGUUACAAACCAAAUAAAAGGAGACGUCCAUUUUUAACAACAAUUUUUAAACAAAAAAAAAUGAUCCUGUUGUUGUUUAGGAAGAGGUCAUCUAGAGGUCAUCUAGAGGUCAUCUAGAGGUCAUCUAGAGGUCAUCUAGACCUCUUUACGUUCUUUUAGAUGUGAAUAUCUAUUCUAGGUCAAUUAUUACUGUGUGUACUAUUAUAAUACCUGGUGCGCAUCCCAAAUGGAACCCUGUUCCCUAUAUAUAGGGAAUAGGGUGCCAGCCCUGGUCUAAAGUAGUGCCCUAUAUAGGGAAUAGGGUGCCAGCCCUGGUCUAUAGUAGUGCCCUAUAUAGGGAAUAGGGUGCCAGCCCUGGUCUAUAGUAGUGCCCUAUAUAGGGAAUAGGGUGCCAUUUGAGAAGCGGCCCCUGAUAACCUGUUGUUGCGUGUCAGACCUUUUUCUUUUGUUACUGUACGACAACUUUGACUGUUGAAAUGCUGUUUUAGAAGUGAUGUGUUUUUAAUAAGAAACUGAAGAACGAAAAUGUAGCGACAGGGUUUUUGUUUUACCACAAUGCUGUUACACUUUUAUGCAACUUUAAUAAACAAAAUAUGUUAAAAGGGGG
rnacentral:lncRNA from 1 species